ensembl:lncRNA
CUGCAGAUGUGCUGUAAACAAUGCAACUAGUGGAGGCGGCAAAGUGCUCAGUGUUGCCAGAUUGGAAAUGGUGAAGUAUCGUACCAAAGGUUCAAAAUGGUCGUAUUUGGAGGAUAAUUAUCGUGUGUCUGGCAACAUUGAGAUCGGUUGACCAAUGCCUGUUCUCUCUACAGUCAGAGCUCGCGAAAGAAGGUGGAAGGUAAGGGAGACACCAUUUCCAAAACUUGUAGGGGCGUAAUAACUAGUUUGUGAAAGACCCAGAAAAACACAAAUAUACGACGAAGCAAAAUCCCGGAGGUUUUUGGAAUCUCUGCCGGAUGCAUCUUUUAGGUCUCAAAAAGAGGACAUGUCCGGGGAAAAGAGGACGUUUGGUCCCCCUAAUUAAACAGUCUGAUAACUCUGUCCUCGCAGCAGCUAACGAUAGCUCACCGCUUGUGUAGCUACAGCAGCUAGCUAGCCAUCUACCUUCUAUUAGUAUUUAUUUUUCUACACAAUAGAAAAGCGAUGCGCUCUCGUGCCUCAUGCAGCUCUUUCUGUGUUGCACGUCAAUACUUUGAGACAAACAAGGAGCGUCAAUCUAACGUAAAUGCUUUUCAAUAAAUGUCUUUAGUUCCCUGCACAAUGAACAUGAAUCUCAAAUUAAAUGAUUAAUAUUCCCCAAAUUCCAAUUAACUACACUUCCGCUGUUACAGAGGGGAAACACUGUAAUCAUACUGUAAACUUUCAAAAGUUUAUAUAUUGUGCAUAGUUUGAAGUGAAAAAAAACUUUUCUUCAAUUGUGUUUGGGUUCAGGCUCUGUUUAGGAUCGGUAUCGGAAAAACCCAAACGAUACUCAUCCGUACCAGACAUGAGUCUGCACGCUCAACGUGAAGCUACAGCCAGCCGCUGGUUAGCUUAGCAUGAAGACUGGAGACAAGAGGGCUCGAAAGGGAUGUUUAAGAAUCCGGAUUCAACAGUUUACAAAUUUCCGACUUGAUGAAACAAUGGACAAAAAUCGUUCUUUAUUUAUUCUUAAAGUGUUUGCUUUCAAGAUCAAGAUGGGGUCAUAGAAAAAAACAAGUAGAGCAAAGUGUUUUAUGCACCAUGUCAAGUGGAUGAGCUCCAUCAAUACAAAUACACCGUCCACACACAUUUACUCUAAAGGCUCAUUUGCAUAUUGUAGAUACCUUCACUGUAACCAUAGAGACGUUACAUCAUGAUGGAACAUUUCUCCAUGUUCCAUGUUCCAUGUUCUAUGCUCCGUUCACCACAGCAUAAGAACACAGUCUGUUACACAUCCAGUCAGUCAGUUUCAAACCUCGCAUCUACACACUGAAGUUUUCCGGACCUACACUUGCAGAAAGCAACCAUGUAAUGCCUCAGGAGUCUGUAGAGGGGACGAAGACGCGUUCUGCUGCACUUAACAGAGCUCAAGACCAACGGGACGCCAUCAGGACGCCAUCAGGACGCCACGUCAACGGGACGCCAUCAGGACGCCACGUCAACGGGACGCCAUCAGGACCUCACGUCAACCCCUCAGGAGCAAAUCCAGAUCUACGCAUGACACACACACACACACCCCCACACACACACACACAGAUACACACUAUCAUUUGGUUCUAAACAAAGACACACACUAAUAUUUAUAUGUACACAAAGACACAAUAACAAUUAGAUGGACACAGAGACAUGAUACUUCAUAGAUUUACACACAGACA